rnacentral:rRNA from 1 species
CACGUAGGCGGACUGGAAAGUUGGAGGUGAAAUCCCAGGGCUCAACCUUGGAACUGCCUUCAAAACUAUCAGUCUGGAGUUCGAGAGAGGUGAGUGGAAUUCCGAGUGUAGAGGUGAAAUUCGUAGAUAUUCGGAGGAACACCAGUGGCGAAGGCGGCUCACUGGCUCGAUACUGACGCUGAGGUGCGAAAGCGUGGGAGCAAACA